rnacentral:rRNA from 1 species
UCGGGAAUUUUGGGCAAUGGGCGAAAGCCUGACCCAGCAACGCCGCGUGAAGGAUGAAAUCCCUCGGGAUGUAAACUUCAUAAGAACGGGAAGAAUAAGUCCGUGCUAACACCACGGGUGAUGACGGUACCGUUAGUAAGCUCCGGCUAACUCCGUGCCAGCAGCCGCGGUAAUACGGGGGGAGCAAGCGUUGUUCGGAUUUACUGGGCGUAAAGGGCGCGUAGGCGGCCACCGCAAGUCAAUUGUGAAAUCUCCGGGCUUAACUCGGAAAGGUCAACUGAUACUGCGGGGCUAGAGUGCGGAAGGGGCAACUGGAAUUCUCGGUGUAGCGGUGAAAUGCGUAGAUAUCGAGAGGAACACCUGCGGCGAAGGCGGGUUGCUGGGCCGACACUGACGCUGAGGCGCGAAAGCUAGGGGAGCGAACGG